rnacentral:tRNA from 3 species
GCCGAAGUGGUGGAAUUGGUAGACACGCUAGACUUAGGAUCUAGUGCCGCAAGGCGUGGAGGUUCAAGUCCUCUCUUCGGUACCA